GAUUAGCCCAAACCAAUAAAGUUUUCUUUAUUGGGGUUGCGGACAUAUCAUAACGAAGAGGUAUCGUAAUUGAAGAGGUUUGGAAAGACCCACCACAGAAGGGAAUAGUCCUGUAUGUUAAACGAGAAGACUUUAGAUAUGAUCCAGAGUACCACGGGACACGUGAAACCCUGUGGGAAGCAGGAGGGACCACCCUCCAAGGCUA
rnacentral:rRNA from 1 species